GGUGUCUUAGCCAAGUUGGUAAGGCAUGGAGCUGCAACCUCCAGAUGCAUCAGUUCGAAUCUGAUAGACACCUCCA
rnacentral:tRNA from 2 species